GUUAAUGGUAUUUAACUUAAAUUUCACAGGAUUUGAGAUUGAUUAUAUAGAGUUUUGUUUAAUUUAUUAUUAAUAUGAGGGAUAUUAUUGGGACGAUAUAACUAUUAAAAAUGUGUGCAUUUGUUUUAAAGCUAAAGUCACUGUGGAAGAGAAAGAGCACAGAAGCUGUGGUUGCUGUGAUCCUGGCCCUCACACAUCCAGGUCACAGUUUUCUAAUUCAUCACAGCGAACUGUGCUCGCUGAGGCCUCACAGAUGGCUGACAGGCGAGGUAAUGGAGGGCCUCUUCCAUCUAAAUGCCAACGUGGGCAGAGUAUUUACCUGCUAAACCAUUACACCGCAGGUGUAAUACUCUUUGGCGAAAGAGACCAAAUGAGACAACACAGCUUGCCAAGGACUGACUUCAGCUUGUACCAAGCAAUACUCUCAUUUGUGAAUGUUGGAGGAGUACACUGGAAACUACUGUACAUAAUUCCUGCCACAUGCUCGGUCUUUUUGGUGGAUCCAAUGGAGAACAAAGCCGAGGAAGCAGAGUCCUAAAAUCAACUUUUUCAUAAAGUUGGAUUUUACAUUUAGGUAGAUUUGCCUGAAGAAAUCAGUGUAAAAUAAUUAACAAAAUUUCAAAGAUGACAAUAGCAUCUGGUAUGAUAUCAUGCACCUUUUUUUGUUAAAAGGUUGCAAAUAACAGAAUAAGACAGAGAUCCCAAAAAGCUGUCAAUUAAAGCAGUUAUUUGGCUUUGCUGAUUAGAAGGUUAUUAUUAUUUAAACCUGACAUUGAGAUUGUUAUUGCAUGUAGUUU